rnacentral:rRNA from 1 species
CGCCUGGGGAGUACAGCCGCAAGGUUAAAACUCAAAUGAAUUGACGGGGGCCCGCACAAGCGGUGGAGCAUGUGGUUUAAUUCGACGCAACGCGAAGAACCUUACCUGGCCUUGGCAUCCAGAGAACUUUCCAGAGAUGGAUUGGUGCCUUCGGGAACUCUGAGACAGGUGCUGCAUGGCCGUCGUCAGCUCGUGUCGUGAGAUGUUGGGUUAAGUCCCGUAACGAGCGCAACCCCUAUCCCUGGUUGCUAGCAGGUAAUGCUGAGAACUCCAGGGAGACUGCCGGUGACAAACCGGAGGAAGGUGGGGAUGACGUCAGGUCAUCAUGGCCCUUACGGCCAGGGCUACACACGUGCUACAAUGGCGCGUACAGAGGGCUGCCAACUCGCGAGAGUGAGCCAAUCCCUUAAAACGCGUCGUAGUCCGGAUCGGAGUCUGCAACUCGACUCCGUGAAGUCGGAAUCGCUAGUAAUCGCGAAUCAGAAUGUCGCGGUGAAUACGUUCCCGGGCCUUGUACACACCGCCCGUCACACCAUGGGAGUGGGAUGCAAAAGAAGUAGUUAGUCUAACCUUCGGGAGGACGAUUACCACUUUGUGUUUCAUGACUGGGGUGAAGUCGUAACAAGGUAACCGUA